UUGAACGCUGGCGGCAUGCUUUACACAUGCAAGUCGAACGGCAGCGCGGGCUUCGGCCUGGCGGCGAGUGGCGAACGGGUGAGUAAUGCAUCGGAACGUGCCCAGUAGUGGGGGAUAGCCCGGCGAAAGCCGGAUUAAUACCGCAUACGACCUGAGGGUGAAAGCGGGGGACCGAAAGGCCUCGCGCUAUUGGCGCGGCCGAUGUCGGAUUAGCUAGUUGGUGGGGUAAAGGCUUACCAAGGCGACGAUCCGUAGCUGGUCUGAGAGGACGACCAGCCACACUGGGACUGAGACACGGCCCAGACUCCUACGGGAGGCAGCAGUGGGGAAUUUUGGACAAUGGGGGCAACCCUGAUCCAGCCAUGCCGCGUGCGGGAAGAAGGCCUUCGGGUUGUAAACCGCUUUUGUUCGGGAAGAAAUCCUCUGGGCUAAUACCCCGGGGGGAUGACGGUACCGGAAGAAUAAGCACCGGCUAACUACGUG
rnacentral:rRNA from 1 species